UCAUAUGCCGAUACCGCCGUGGGUGGUUACACCCUCCCUAUCCAUCGCGUGCUGCCCGUUGCUGGGGAGUUCUACCUUCUCGGACAAUAAAACUGAGCUCGAACCUAUCCUCCUGGCCAUCUCCACGGUCAGGGCAUGAGGGAGUUCGUCGUCGACAUGAUCACGCCACACCAUUGUUGAGACCCUCAACGGCAAACUAGGGCGGUCAACGGUGCUCGCCUCUGGUGAGUCGCAUCUUCACCAGGCGGGUGGGAGACUGGAGUCCAAGAAGUGCUCACCGGAGCCUAGGAGCCAUGGCGCAGCCGCAUCAUCACGUGGACAAGGGUGCACACGCCGUCAUUCUUCGGUGAGAAACCCCUCUGGGCUCCCAUUAUCAUCCACGCAUAGUAUAUACCCGAGUAUUGUAGAUAUCGUCGCGUCGUGGUCUAGGAAUUUAUCACUGGAGUUCUCCCUCCGCCGCAUAAUCACACCACGCCAUGGUCAGCACCAACACCACUCCGAUGGGCGGUAUGAACCCUCUCUGCAUGUUCGCCAUCUUCCCCUCUAAGUUUAGCACCGAUCAAUUUCAAGGUUGGGCGAUUAGGCGUCGGAUCGUGUGGCCGGCAGCGAAGCUCCGCCGCGGGUAUGCCCUGCGGUGCCACCGUGUUCAGUUGGGGUUGGUGGCGUGGUCGCAUCCGUUGAUCUAGGGAUCGGCGGCUAGGCUCAAACAAGCUAUGGGACGUUGGUCUAUCAGGGAACGGCCACGAUUAGAUAUGUGAGAACUUUGUCAUUUUAAAUCAGUGCUGCAGAUUGACGAAUGGGUGGAUCGGAUGGUGUCGUUGCGGGGGGAAUUUCGGGCCGUGGAUCUCGGAUCCAAGGGCAGGUAUCACAUACCGGUUCUGGUUUUACGGGAUCUAAUGCAUGUCGUUGGUUUUAGAUCGGGCAGCUGGGAAUCAAGGACACCCUUUCAGCCGUGAAACAAAUACAAAAGAGCCCUCGGUUUUCUUUUAAAUCAACCCGCAGUCUGGGUAUGUGGAGAGAUCAGUACGGUUAGGUCCAGAUUUUUCACGGGUUAAACCCUGAAGAUUUAAGGAAUAGCGCCCGUAGUCCAUCCAGUUCAGAAAUAAUAAAAUAAACAUGGAAAUUGAUUCCCAAGUAUAAAAAUAAUUCUUGAAAUCUUAGAAAACUCAUAAUUUACGUGUUUUAACUUUGUUUUACUCUGUUCUGGUUGCGUUAGCUUCGUAAUAAAAUUACCUACGCAGUGAUGACAUUAUUUGUACCAUAAAACAUAUCUUUAUAAAUAGAUAGAGGUUAGCCUAUUAUUAGUAGAUUUAUCCUUCCAACCAAAGUUAAAUUAAUCCAUGACGAUAAUUGACUAAAAUAUGAUUUCUAAUCAAACUAUAAUCUAGGUUAAAGUUUAAUUAAUUAUUUGGAGUAUAUUUUCUCAUAUGAUGUAUAUUAACCAAUUUAUAAUAUAGUUUAAUAUUUAAUCACGUAGAUCUUCGGAAAAUCGUACCUUUAUAAUCGUAACUCCGAAUUUGGUGGUUCUCGAACUCACGAUCUCGUAGCAUCGCGUAGAUUAUUAUUAUGCGGUUUGUUCUUAUGUUGGGUGUGAUGUUAAUUUUGCCUAUACCAUGUUUGUUGUAUUGCUAUGAAUAGCAGUGAGUUCACGAGUCACUUGAAGACAAGUUGGUACCUGAAAUCUUGAGUCUAAGACAAGUUGUGCCCUUGAUCACUUUUCUUUACCCAAUAAUGUUCCUAUUAAUCACUAUGACAUGCUCAGUUUAAUCUGAUGGGACCAAAUAGGUUUCUCUAGACUUGUUUAUCCCACACCUUGUUUACCACUGAACUUUUGGGUAGUUUUGCUAUUGCUCUACCUGGUUUGGGGAUUAAUAUUACAUUAUGAUCAUGUUCCAGUUAUACUGUUGUUUAAUUAUUGUUCAUGACAAGAUCAUUGUGUUAAUUGGAACAUAGAGCUUAACUUGAGAAACACGUGCUACCAUAAGGGUGGAAUGGGACGCCCUUGGCUGACUAAUUAGGAAAGCUAGUUGAGGACUACCUUACCCGAAAGGGGCAAGGGCAGUAGGGGAGUUGUCGGUAUAGGAAGGUUCUCGGGGUGAUCAUGUUGCGAUGGCUUUUCGGACGGGGGAUUCCUAUAUUGCGCUUUCUAGAAACUGUAGUGGGUUUUCUGAAGCUAGUGAAACUUUGUAAAGGCCUCGUAGUGGAUCCAUAUCCAUUCACCGCGGAAGUGUCUAAGGGUCUAGCUAACCUUGGCUAGACGGGAUACACGACUUGUGGGUAAAGGGCGCAACCUCUACAGAGUGUAAAACUGGUAUAUCAGCAGUGCUCGCGGUCAUGAGCAGCUCAGGACUCUCGCAUGAUUAAUUUAUGGAACUAAACUUAAUCUGUCAUAUGCAUUGCAUCGCGGGUGUUAUUAUCAAUUGUGAUCUCUUACUUAAUUGAGUUGGUAUCUACUUAUACUUAGUAACUACUAAUAAAAUUUUGACCAACUCUAAAGCAAUGCUCAGCUUUAACCAUCUCCUUUAGUAAGCCUUACACUUCACAUGAGCUCCCACUUUUGGUGAGUUCAUGCACAUUAUUCCCCACAAUUUGUUGAGCGAUGAACGUAUGUGAGCUCAACCUUGUUGUACUCACAUCCCCCUAGGUCAAAAACAGGUACCACAGGAGGAGGCGCACGAAAGAUGUUGUGAUGAGUUUGUGAGUGGUAUAGGUCGUCGUCUCCCAGUCAACUUUAUGGUUGUUGGAUCGUUGUCUGCAUAUGAUAUAAUUAUUUAGCUAUUUUGUACAUCACUUCUAUUAUAUAGUAAAGAUGUGACAUUCGUUUC
rnacentral:lncRNA from 1 species